CUGGAAAGCUAUUCGAAUCUCAGAUUCAAAGAAUUUAGUAGAUAAGGGAUCUUAGUGAACACAUCAUCUAUCCCUAAAUAUAUAGCUAGAGGUCGUCACAUGGAAGUACUUACUGAAAUCUUCGUCAUAGACCCUGUAAUUUUCCUUCAUAAACGCAUGCACUAAAUCAAAAACAUCACACACCAAUGGAAACCGUCAAUGGGCGUAACUUAAUAUUAAGGAACACCCAUAUUAAGUUAUGCCCCCAACCUGCGGUCUGCAGAUAUACCCUCCUUGAGGACCGUAACCUGCCUCACACUCCAGUACAGUAGGUGGUGGUAUAUGCACCUUCAGUUGGAUGUUAUCUGCCCACCAAAAUCGAAUGAAGAAGAAUUUGCUUGAGUUAAUCUCGGAGCGGUUGGUUUAGUUUUCAAGACAUUAAGAACUUUUCGUGAAAUACAAACAUAGAUCCAUUUUGCUAAAAUGAGGGAGGACAAACCCAGCCUGCUGCUCUCCUUCCACUUUGAGCCCAAACAAGAGUCAUUGGAUUGUGAAAGUGAAGCUCAGGAUGUGUUGGUGGAUUCAGAGAUGACAUCAGUAAAGCUGGACAAAAGUCAAACGCUGGGACUGACUGUUAGCAUUAAAAAUGAAGAGAAGGAGAAGAAUGAAGAAAAGGAGAAGAAUGGGGUUAUCAUUAAAAAAGAAGAGGGGGAUUUAUUUAAUGAAGGUAAGAAUUGGUUUAAUGUUAUUGUCAAUGUAGUAAUUUUGUUCUUACCAAUGAAAGGGUAGGUUAUUUUUAAUUCUCUGUCAGUUUUCUUCAUAUUGUCAUACUUAUUUUUUGUUGUCUAAGACACCAACAAAUACAGAAUGUUUUAAAGAUGUUCUCCAGUCCACAGUCUAGGUUUGAGCCUUAACUAUGUCCCUUGAUGACAAUUGGCUGGGAAGACCCAUGGGAAUUGUACAUUGGCCAGGAAAUCGCUGAGACAGGGAGACUUGGUCAGCAGGGAUUCCCAGUUCUCAUUGCGCUCAAAAGCUGACUGAGGCAGUCACCAAACAGCACUAAAUUAAAUGGAAAUAGCACGCUUUAAGGUACAGUUCAACAAAACACAACACACUGAAGCUUUAUAUGAAAUUAAUACAGCGCAAAUAAUCUGCAACUGUCUUACUUGAGCACUGGGAACAAUAGUAAUUAAUAAUAUUUACCAAACAAAACAGUGUUGGACCCACAAUGGACAAUUGCUAGAGUUAGCACGGGUUUCCCAACCCAUUGUGCAGGGGCAAUCCCAUCAGCCCUGGCCUACAAUUCCUACCAAGGACUCUAUUCUUUAGUGGAACUGAACAAAUCUGACUUUGAUUUUCCCGCUUGGCUACAUAAAUUAGAAGAGUUUAGAUCUUGGGUCACAGUUUGGUGUCAUAAAGUGGAUCCAGAAAUGGAAGUGGAUCUACCAGCUAUUUGUUUGUGGAAGAGCAAAAUACAGUUAAUUCAGAAGUACUAAUAAUAAUAUUAUUAUUAAUAGAUUGAUUUUAAAGCGCCUUUCACAGACUCAAGGACACUGUACAAUGGAGUGGGCCAGAGAUACAAGAGACAAACAAUCUGAGGGUAACAACAAGAAGAAUGGAGUCAGACGGCCACAAAAUCAAAGUUUGAUGCGCAUUUCCUUAAACAACGGCUGUGCAAUUAUGGAAAGAUCACUGAACAAUUAUUAGUCAUAUAGAGAAAGAAAAUCCUUCAUUUAAAAUGUCAUCUGACUAAAUACACUUGCAUUGUUUUUAGUUGUCCCAUGUUUUUGUUGUUAUUCACUUAAUGUAAAGUUAUUCACUUUAACUUUUCUAAUUGAGUGUUAGCUGAGGACGUAGUGGGAAAUAAUAUAGUGGACGUGUACAACUAGGAAGAGGUGAUGUUAAAACUUUAUUAAUAAAUCUUAUAAUGGGAGCAGGAGAGAGGAGGAAGUUUAUUAUGAUUAGUUGAUUGCCUGGAACUGAUAGGAAGGUAAAGGGUAUAUUUAAGUGCUGUAUG
rnacentral:lncRNA from 1 species